AUGAACGCUAGCGGCAGGCCUAAUACAUGCAAGUCGAACGGUAACAGGUCCAGCAAUGGAUGCUGACGAGUGGCGCACGGGUGCGUAACACGUAUGCAACCUACCUAUUACAGUGGGAUAGCCCGGAGAAAUUCGGAUUAAUACCGCAUGAAACUAUUGGGAGGCAUCUUCUGGUAGUUAAAAUUUUAUGGUAAUAGAAGGGCAUGCGGCUGAUUAGCAGUUGGUAGUGUAAUGGACUACCAAGGCUACGAUCAG
rnacentral:rRNA from 1 species